rnacentral:rRNA from 1 species
GAGUUUGAUUCUGGCUCAGGAUGAACGCUGGCGGCGUGCGUAACACAUGCAAGUUGGACGACGGUGCCAUGAAGUGGUAACACGGAAUGGUAUACGGAGUAGCGGACGGGUGAGUAAAGCAUGAGGAGCUGUCCUGUUGAGGGGGAUAACGUUCGGAAACGGACCCUAAUACCCCAUAGGCCGAGAGGUUAAAGGCAGAGAUGCGCGACAGGAGGUACUCGUGUCCUAUCAGCUGGUUGGUGAGGUAACGGCUCACCAAGGCAACGACGGGUAGCCGGCCUGAGAGGGUGACCGGCCACACUGGAACUGAGACACAGUCCAGACUCCUACGGGAGGCAGCAGUGGGGAAUAUUGGGCAAUGGGAGAAAUCCUGACCCAGCGACGCCGCGUGAACGAAGACGGCCUUCGGGUUGUAAAGUUCUUUUAUGUGGGAAGAAGGAAGUGACGUACCACAUGAAUAAGCCCCG